rnacentral:tRNA from 1 species
CCCUGGGUGGCUCAGUCGGUUGAGCAUCUGACUUCAGCUCAGGUCAUGAUCUCAGGGU